AGAGACGAUGGCGGUCUCAAUCUCAGCCAGGGCUCUAACAUCAUGCGUGUGGUUCUUGAAGGUCCUGGUUCUGACCCACUCCUUGUCUUGCUGCUGCUGCAGAGUAGGAGCAAUGAACUGGAACUGGAUCACAGUACCCUCUGACGUCCCCACCACCACGCUGCUCUCAUCCUGUCAAUCACACACAAACCAGUCUACAUGGAAGUUCCACUCUAGUCAAGCCUACGAAUUCACAUUAGUUGGGUCAAACAAAUCAUGUUCACCUGCAACAUAUGGAUUCAGACAAUCAAAGAGACAUCUACAUUCUCUUGCACCUCCUAAUAAACAGAGGGCAACAGUCUGGAAGGAGGGAUAAAAUAUUGGUAAAGGGCAAGUGUCCAUCACAUUGAACACCCUCUCACCUUGGAGACAGACAGUGCCAGCACAUCCCACUUGGUCACCAGGUGUGUUUUGACGAGCGUACCGGUGUGUCCAUCCCAGACUUGGACCUCCCCAGCAGAGUCACCGCUGAUGAUAGUACAGUCUGACAGGAAGACUACACUCCAGACUACAGUCUCCCGACUCUUAGAGCCUCCAAAGCCCCGGUCCACCAGGAGCCUCUGUACAGCACGACCUGAAACAACAAAGACUGGAGGUCAGGAUCAAAAAAGUCCAAAAUUGGAAACCUAUCAAAAAUGCACUGUGGUUCGCAUACUAACUGCCUGACAAUAUUUUCACAUGGCUGUUCCUAACUCACCUGUCGGGACAUCAAAGACACGGAUCAUGUCCAUCAUGCCAGCAGCAAUCUGUGUGCCAGAGGGGUGCCAGGAGAGGGAUAUGAUGCGACCUGAAAGACAGGAUUACACAGUUUAAGCUGCAUUAGAAGAGGUCAGUUGUCAAUACAGCUGCAACCCCAUUGACAGCAAGGAUGACAAAACAUAGCAAGAAAGGUUGUAAUGUAAGGAAGGAAAAAAUGUUUAGACAAGUGAAUCAAUACUCUGUUCCACUCACCUUUCUGUCUGUCCAGAUUGCGCUCAAACUGAAUGCUCUCUUCUAGUACCUCAAACAACUUCACUGUCCCAUCUUCACAUCCAAUCUAACAUGAUUAGAAAAAAAUACAUUAUUAAAUUCCAUCUAAAGUCAGCAUGAAAAACACAAAUUUCAAUAUGUUUGAAAGGACACUAUUACAGAGAUGUGACUGACUGCUAAGUGUGCCCCCUGAGAAUUGCUGGUGAUGGUCCAAAUGGGGCCCCCGUAUGCCUCCAGGGAGUACUUGGGUCUCAGGUUUUCCAGAUCAUAUUCUGUGAUCUCUCCAUUUAGGCCAGCACUGAACAGGCGUCCUCCAACCCAACACAGGGCCUCGAUUGACCGGGAGUCCUUCCCUGGAAUAACCUGCAGAUUCCAAAACAAGUGUUAAUUAAUGGCAAGUGUGACAACCAGCCGUGGGUGUAUUUCUGUCGACAAUGUUAAUCAACAAUAAGCAUCCACAAUGUCCUAAGGAGGGAGGUGUAAAGCCUUUUAAGUGUGCUAUAAUGUAGACUAAGGAUCAAGCAUAAUGUUUAUUUUCAUUCUGAAUAGGCUAUACAUGUAUAAAACGAGUUACUAACCUUUUCCUGGAAAUAGUGGUCUGCGAAGUUGAAAAUCUCCACACUCCCAUCCAUUCGUCCCAGGGCCAAUCUCUCUGUGUGUGCAUUGAAUGCCAUAGCUCUGAUGGCAGUUGGCAUGUAGUCGAAAAAUCGAACCCGGUGCACUUUAAACUCCCCCAUUGUCGCUAAUCUAAGAAAACAGUUAGAUGCUAAAAUUAAGAGGAUUAAGAGUUUUGCAUGGAAGUCAUUAUUGUUAUGCAGUUAGCUAGCCUCGUGCCGUUUGUUAACUACCGACUAAACUGUCAUAAUGUGAUGCAAGUCAUAAUUUGAAACAUGUAAGCAACAAAAUGGAUAUCUAGCAACUAAAAAAAAAUAGCACGCUAAUUAGUUGUCGUUAGUUAGCUAAAUAACUAGCUACGUUACUUGAACAGCUAACGUUACGUUAGCUAGCAUACAAUUUGGCUGGUAAGCUAGCUGCUCGUUUGACACUGAAAGAACACCGCUUGCCUAUGCGCAAAUCAUUAUAUUGUUGACAUGUAACAAUUUACAAUGCACAUACAAACAGUUAAAGAAAACGCGUACUUUUAUAGUCCCUUUCUUUAGUGUUUUCUUCACUUUUACCAAAAAUUAAUUCCUAUGUCCACACGUCGAAUUACAGUAGACACCACGUUGGACACCUUUGAACUGGAAACGAAAACCACUACAUGCAAGUGACGCGAAUGUGCGCCGGAUGAAGAUGUACCAUCUUCGUGGCGGGAAAAACAUGAAAACAAACAGGACUUUUUUAAUAUAUAUAUUUUUUUUAUUAACAACAAAUCAAUACAGAAGAGUGUUUCAGUUACCUUUCUGAGAGCAGCACAAUGGUUCAAAUUGUUAAAACUUCAAGUGUGGAUGGACCUGGUCCUACUGAGUGGCUGCUGGUUGAACUCCAGGGGUAAUGAUGUCCAGGCAGAACUCUGGAUUGGCUGGGAACCUGAUGGGAGAUCUGCUCUACACCAGAGGCACUUGACAACAUGGCACUAUAAUGCAGUGCUAGUACACUCUACUGUUACCUCUUUCCACUCAGAGAUGUUGUGUCUUGUCUUUACUGUGCUCACCUGUGUCCCCUCCCCAGGGUGUACCUGUGCUCAUUGUGGGACACCACAUCCUCUAUGGGAAGGUGGUCAAACUGGAGAAGCCCUUCGCUGUCCUGAUGAAACACUCUGGCCUCCCACAGGGGGAGAAGGUUCCCAUGGAAAUCAACCAGCAGAACCCCACCACCUACUCUAUUUCCGCCCUCAUCAAGAAGAAGCUCAUCUUCAAUACUCGCCCAAAGCCCAUCAUCACUAAUGUGCCCAAGAAACUAGUGAAGUGCUUGGUCAUAUGCAUUAUAGGGCUCACUGUCGCAAAACACUUUUAACUGGAAAAAAAUGGACAAGUUCAGAUAGUCCCUGUUGCAGUCUGUUUUCUUCCGUUUUGUGCCUAACGACCUUGACCCUGGUCACCUCUAUGGGAGCAAAGGACAUGCAGCACUCUUAAUGACGCCAGACCCACAAGUAUGGAGCACCCAUUGCAAGACUGUACUUGGGACACACUCCUCUGGCUUGAGGUUAUGGGACAUCUUUGUUUUGUUAUGACAGUGGUUUUACACUGCUGGAAUUUGCUUAACGCUGUGGUGUAUUAUUAAAAUAUCUUUAUUAUUGCACUUAUCAGAUGACAGGAUUUAGUAAUGUCUUGACAUGACAUUUGUACAGUGAUUACAUUCAGAUGGGGAAGAAAUCACCACAACAGUCGAAUGAGAAUCUUUUUUUUUUAUUCAGAUAAAAAAUACAUUUUUUUCAACUGCUGUACAAAUCGGAAAAAUAACUGUUUUGAUUUGAAAUACAAAACCUUUUUCCAUCAACAUUUCUUUCCUUCUAUAUUUAAACAUAAUGAAAUACAUAGGUGGUUACAAUACUUUAUUUUCAGCUAUUACAUACCAAUAAAAUGUGUAUUUUAUGUUUCAAUAGCCAUAUGCUGGUGCAUGAUUCUGAUUUUCUUUGUACCCUACUACUGUAUUAGAAAUGCUAUCUUGGUUUACUACUUUUACAUGACAGUUAUAACUGCCUGUUCUAAAUCUAUAUGAAGCAUCAUCCCUAAAUCAUAAUAGGGAUAAUGGUGAUAUGAGUGAUUUCUCGUCCAUGAAACUACAAAAAGACAAGUGUGGCAAUGUUGAACACUAGAGACCAAACUACACUGAAUAACAGAUCAUUGUGCUAACUACAUCACAUUGUAAAAAUAAUGUAAAACGCUAUUGUUUCAGGAAAUGUACAAAUCCAAUAGUUCCUUUUAAAUAUAGGUCUAUUCUUAAACCCAUAAUUCUUGUACAUCUUCAAAAUAUCUUUGAAUAUAUACAAUACACAAAAUAUAUUACUUUGCAAUAUACUGUGAAACAUUGCCUUUAUGUAACAUUGAAUGUUGUAUGAGCUGAGAUACCAUGGUUUGUUCGAUAGGCUCAACAGUUGUUCUGCGGCAUUGAGACACCUUAGAAAAGUCUGGCAUAGAUUUUCAGUCACAGACGUAUUGAAUAGUUACAUAAUUAUAUUCAAAACAAUUAUAAGACUGGGUUUUUUUCAUGUCAGAUAUGCUUACAUCAUAUGGCUGGACAUCUACAGUCACUCAGCAUUAUGAGACCGAUUGAUUUGUUGUCAAACAGUGGCAGGUUGUAUCAAGGAAAUCAACAAAUUGCUGACAAUAUUGUAGACUGAAAGCAGAUGUUCAGCCUGAUAGAUAGGCUAUAACAAAGAUUGUAUUUGACAUCUCCACACAAACAAAUGUCAGACAACACUGUCACAGUCGUCUCUAUGGUGUCCUUGCCUCUCAUUUCUUCACAUAAUCCAAAUAUGUCAAAAUCAGAAGAAUCAAAAUCACCUUUAUUCGCCAAAUAAAUGUACACAUACUCAUAAUUUUAAUUUUACUGAUAUGGUGCUGUUAGUUUACACACAUCAUACAUGUGCAUAGAGAGUCUUAUUACACACCUGACACCUGGGUGUAUGUCACCUGACAUACACCCUCAGGAGUAGAAAGGGAAAGGUAGGCCACAUCUACAUGUUAAGACAGAUGAAUAAUAGAGAUUAGUUUGUCUGUACACAAUUCGAAACACUAAGUUCAGUGUUCCAGCAUUCAGGACUUAUUCCUUAAAGAGGACCAAAGGGGUUGCAAGCAUCCCUAGCCUCCUAGUGGCUGUUUAUGUGUGUGUUUAUGGGAAUGGGGGAGGUCCCUUCUUGGCAUGCACAUAUAAGUGUAACCAUAGAUGUCCACCAUUUUUGCUCCAUGUUUGCUGAAUGAACCAAUUCCUCCAGCCACACAGUACAACAUUUCCCCCUCUGUGCCUGGCCACCCCACCCCACACACAAUCUCUCUGGCUGGCUGGCGUCUCUUAAUGGCCUUGUUACUCUAACAUGUUUUCCAAUGUACUGCCUAAAACCAACCCCAUUAAUGACCACAAGUAACUGAAUGAAACACUUGUGUAAAUGAGGGAUGCAAAGUAUAUUGAAAGCAGGUGCUUCCACGCAGGUGUGGUUCCUGAGUUAAUUAACAAUUAACAUCCCAUCAUGCUUAGGGCCAUCAUGCAGGGCAGGCUAAUAUUUUGGCUACCAUCAGUGGUGUAAAGUACUUAAGAAGGAAAGGAAAAUAGUCCAAUUCAUUCAAUAAUCAAGAGAACAUCGCUGGUCAUCCCUACUGCCUCUGAUCUGGCGGACUCAUUAAACACACGUUUCCUUUGUAAAUUAUGUCUACAUGUUGG